UUUAAGUAAUUGUUAUCUUUGACAGCUACCAGUGUACAAAAGAAAAGGCUUGACUCCAAAUUGCUGAAAAUUAUUGUCAAAGACAUGCAGCCAUUUUCAGUAGUAGAAGAUGAUGGCUUCAGAGAGUUUGUGAUGGAGCUAGAGCCUAGGUAUCAGUUUCCUUCAAGACCAACAGUUGUCAGGCAGAUUGAAAGGCAGUAUGAGGAAACUAGACAGGAAGUCCAGCUGGAAAUUGAGGUAUGGUUCAUUAGUGCUACAAUGAAAAAAAAAAAAAAAAAAAAAUAGAAUCUUAAUUUUUUUGGCAGACUAUCAACUUUAAAGCCUUACUUGUUAAUACAAAUAUCUACAAUAUGUUACAGGCAGCAACACAUGUGUCACUUACUACUGAUAUGUGGACCUCUGUCAGUAUGGAGGCAUAUUUAGCAUUCACUACAUCACUUGAGAUGGACACAUGCAAACAAAACUACUGGAUGUUCACAGGUAAUCAUGAGCAUGCAUUAGCAUACUUACUCCUGGAAUAAUUUACAUAAAGUCCCCUGAAGGUUUUUUUUUGGAGUGUUCCUAUGAUACUAGGGUAUGCAACUUUGGAGAAAUUAGCAAGAAUGUGAAAAUAAACAACAGUAAAAAUCCACCCCCCUCUCUGCCCCUUCUCUCCCUUGCACAGAGCUAUCCUGAUUAGUUGUUGAUUCAGGCACCUGAAUUUGACCUGUAACAAAUUACCUACCCUAGCUGUAAUAGACAUGUUCAUAUAUUUGUAAAGCACUUUGUAACUGCAUAAGUGUUAUAAAAAUUAAGUUUAUUAUUAUUUACUAAAUCAAUUUUGGUACAGAUUCCCAGAGCGCCACACAUCGGAUGCCAUAGCUGUCUGCAUGAAAUACUCCACAGCUGGAAACUGAAAGGGAAGGUGCAGUGUGCUGUCACUGAUAAUGGAGCUAACAUGGUGGCGGCCAUUAGAAAGCGAAAUAUAAGACACAUACCAUGUUUUGCACAUACUAUUAAUCUAAUAGUCAAGGACAGCCUAAGUGCAAUCCCAGAAUUGGAAGAAAUGAGACAGAAAGUAAGAAAAAUCGUAGGACAUUUUAAGAGGAGUUGCACUGCAAAGGAGAAGCUUGCAGCUUUGCAGCAGGACAUGAAACUGAAAGAGCGAAAACUAGUUCAAGAAGUUGAAACUAGAUGGAAUGCAACCUAUCUCAUGCUGGAGCGCUUUUUAGAAGUGAAGGAGCCCCUAUCAGCUGCACUGUCAUCCCUCAAAGGGUCAGCCCUCCCAGUAAUCUUCCAAAAUGACUGGAUUGACAUGGAGGAGACAACAAAGGUAGGAGACAUUGUACUAGUACUUUUUCAGUUAAAAAAAAAAAAAAAAAGUCAUUCUUAUCUUGAUAAUCAACUUAAUUUGUCCAAGACUAAGGUAAUCACAGGCAAAAUGUCAUCUCAUGUAAACAUCAAGGUCCUGAAGCCCUUCUUAAAUGUCACAGAAGAGAUGUCGGCUGAACAAAAUGUGACUGCAUCCAAGGUAAUUGUACUUAUAAGGAACCUGCAAAGGUUUACCGCCACUGCCAUUCAGAGAAAUCCACCUGAAACCACUGGCCACAAACUUGCAGUUGCUCUCAAUAAGUCUCUUAUGAAGAGAUGUGGAGCAAACACGGUAAGAGUUGUAAAGCAAUACAGUACUUGGAUAUAUUAACAAAUUAUGUCAAUUAUACAAACUAAAUCACUGUAUUUGUUUCCUAUGCUUUUUAGUUUCCUUGGUAUUGCAACUCUUCUCGACCCACGUUUCAAGAAACUGGCAUUUGGUAAUGAGAAUAAUGCAGGAGGAGGCCGUGAAAUCUUUCUCAGCUGAGUUCGCAGUGUUGGUGAGAGAGGGAGGUGCUCAGACUAUGAAUGUAGGGGCAAGUGUUGUUGAGCCAGAAGAAGACGACAUCUGGAAAGAGUUUGAUGUACGGGUCUCGCAACAGAAUCCACACAAGGAUUUCACAACAGAGGUUAAGAUGUACUUUGCCCUUCCAAACCUUGAGAGGAAAAUGUGUCCACUACAGUUUUGGCAAUCUGAAGGCCACAGAUUCCCCCACCUCCAGAAGCUGACCUUGAAAUACCUUUGUGUACCCGCAACAUCAGUCCCCAGCGAAAGGAUUUUCUCCAAAUCAGGAGAACUGAUCUCAGAAGGUCAAGACUCAAGCCCAAAAACGUCAGCAUGUCCCUCUUCCUGCAUUACAAUUGGUAGUGUGGUACCCAGCAUGACCCGAAGGUCCCUCCCCAAUAUGUGAAGAACGUUUUUUUAUUUUUUACUAUUGUACCAUUGUAUUGUAUAGUAUUUAAGUUUUGUACAAUUUAGUAUUGAUUUUCAUUUAAAACAUUUGUUUUGUUUUACAACUUACAUUUUUGUGUUGACAAAUACAUUUUUUAUUGUACUAUUGUAUAGUAUUUAAGUUUUGUACCAUUUAGUAUAAUUUUUAAUUUAAUACAUUUGUUUCUAUCAAUGCAGUGGUGUCAUUAAAAAGAGUUGGGGGGUGGUUUUUUUCAAGCAGUGCUGUCUGUCUUGACAUGACACUUUCAUGCUUUUACAAUAAGUUUUUUAUUUAAUAAAUUUGUUUUACAACUUAAA